rnacentral:rRNA from 1 species
GUCGAACGAUGAAGCCCAGCUUGCUGGGUGGAAGAGUGGCGAACGGGUGAGUAACACGUGAGUAACCUGCCCUGAACUCUGGGAUAAGCACUGGAAACGGUGUCUAAUACUGGAUACGACCUAUCACCGCAUGGUGUGUAGGUGGAAAGAUUUAUCGGUUCUGGAUGGACUCGCGGCCUAUCAGCUAGAUGGUGAGGUAAUGGCUCACCAUGGCGACGACGGGUAGCCGGCCUGAGAGGGUGACCGGCCACACUGGGACUGAGACACGGCCCAGACUCCUACGGGAGGCAGCAGUGGGGAAUAUUGCACAAUGGGCGCAAGCCUGAUGCAGCAACGCCGCGUGAGGGAUGACGGCCUUCGGGUUGUAAACCUCUUUUAGUAGGGAAGAAGCGAAAGUGACGGUACCUGCAGAAAAAGCACCGGCUAACUACGUGCCAGCAGCCGCGGUAAUACGUAGGGUGCAAGCGUUGUCCGGAAUUAUUGGGCGUAAAGAGCUCGUAGGCGGCUUGUCGCGUCUGCUGUGAAAUCCCGGGGCUCAACCCCGGGCCUGCAGUGGGUACGGGCAAGCUAGAGUGCGGUAGGGGAGAUUGGAAUUCCUGGUGUAGCGGUGGAAUGCGCAGAUAUCAGGAGGAACACCGAUGGCGAAGGCAGAUCUCUGGGCCGCUACUGACGCUGAGGAGCGAAAGCAUGGGGAGCGAACAGGAUUAGAUAC